rnacentral:lncRNA from 1 species
GACGAAAAGGGCAGUCGAGUGCACUAAGCUUCCGCAAUGCUCGGGGUCCAGGGAAGGAUCGGACCACAAUGCCUAUUAUACGCAACCCUAACCUGUAUUUUUGGAAGAGGCUAUUGAUAAUGGACUGCUGAAGAAUAAUACUGAAGAAAAAUGUACACAUGAUUAUGAAUCUUAAAAUUGUAAUAUGUGAAGGAACUGAAUUCAGAAACUCUAUUGAGGUAAAACAAUGCCAAAUACUUUCUCUAACUGCCAAAAACAGAUUACUGCUUCAUCUCCAUGUCCAGCCAGGGCAUGGAGCAGUAACCUAUAUAACUUCCAAGAUCUGUCUAAUUGAACUGAUUAGGACUUCUCAUCAAAAUCACGCCUCGUCUAUUAAAGACUGCAAUUUUUGGCGAAAGGUAGGGAUUUUGGCCGCAUCUAUUGCCAUUACCAAGCCAGUAAGCCGAUAAUCUUUUAGCUGCAAUGUCAGGAGAGGAAUAAGUGUUUCAUUCACGCAAAGUUAUCUGAUAGGAAGUAACAAUAGGAACGUAAUCACACGAACAGUAACAUUAUAUAGACUGAAGAACGACAAAAUUAAAUUUGGAAUAUCAACUCCUCCAUAGAUGGAAGAAAGGAAAGAGCAUUUUGACUUAUAAGAGAAAUCGCCCCAAUUCUG